AUGAACAGGCAGAGUGCACACGCCGUGGCCUCGGGAAGCCACAAUCAUGUGGCUGACAUGGUUCCAGAGUGUGGCAUUAGGGAGACCAACUUCUGAGCUGCAGAUUCACAGCAUGGCCAUGCAGGCAGGGAAGAUGUGCUCUACUCCAGGAUCAAGGAGCAAGCCCAUAUUUCCUCUUGAUUCUGGGACUCCCUCUUGAGACUGAUUUGCUCUAAUGUUAGCUCUUGAGAGAACUGGGGUCCCUGCCUUCUUGGGGAGCCUGAAAAGAAGUUUUGCUGUCUGGGCAUCACAGCAUCCAGAGUGUACAGGAGACAGGUCAGCAGCUGCGGUCAGCAGAGGCACACACGCCAGCCCCUGGAGAUGGGUGGCUUGUCCUGAGCCAAAGCUGGGCUGGUUUAUAAACAGCACCUGUGAAAAGAAGAGGGAUGACUCCAGUGGGACAUUCCUGAACCAUGUGCACCUAUUCACCUAGGAGAAGGAAUGGCUGGAGUUGCAUCUAUCUUUCUGUUUAUGAAAUAUGGGCCCAACUCCAGCGACAACAUAAUUUUUAGACCAUUUAGUGGAAUAAUAAAAGUCAAAAGAGGAAAGAGAACUUACAUGGAUUGAACACCCACUGCAUGCUUAGCUCUCUGCUAGGUGCAUUACAGAAAAGAGCUUAUUGAAUUCUUACGCAAACCCUUGAGGAUGAAUGGCCGCUCACCUGGAGUCUUGAUAGCCAGGUGAUGCAGAUUUAGGAGAAGAAGUCCACCUCAGGUCAGGUUUCCCCAAAGGCAGAUCCUGAGAUGAGGAAUCCAGGACCUAUCACUUACUUGGGAGGUGAGCUCAGGAAGCAUGGGAAACAGCAAGGGGGUGAGGCUGGGAAGGAAGGAGACUCCAUACACAGUGUGUUCUUGGGAGGGUUACUUUCGUGGGCAACAGGGCCUCAGUCCCCCUAAGGACCCUCUAGGAAACUGUGCAACCACCCUCAGAGUGGCGCCGCUGAGAGGGGUGGAGCAGGGGGUUUUAUUCACCAACUCCUGUCCCUCGCGGUAGAGGCUCACUCCGACAGCCUUAACUUACCUGCACCCCUGGCCUGAGGAACUGUUUGCGGGCAACCUCUAGGGCAUGCCCAGGGCAUGAGGUUGGGGGACCAAAAUGCCUUCAAAAGAGAGUUCCCCCAACUUCCAGAAAAGGAGAGGGAGAAGGCAGAGGAAAGUGAAGGUGGAGAAUUAAGACAUCUGGAAAACAUGUGGCGUCUGCCCUACAUCAAAGCUGAAACCUGGAAGAUUAGAAAUUUGGGCUUCUAGGAUAGAGUGCUUCUCCCCCCUUCCACUCAUACUCCAGCACCCUCCUGUCCAACCACUCCACUUGCAAUAGGUACCCAUUUAUGGAGUAGAG
rnacentral:lncRNA from 10 species